CGACUAAAAGCGUAGGCGAAAACUGUGCGAUUAUAACAAAUAGUUAAGCUCCAAACGACAGGCUUUUUAUAGCAAAAGCCACCCGCGAUACAGUGUCUUGCAAAAAUAUCGCCACACAUGCACCGAAGCGAGCGCCAUUUCAAAUUGAAUGGACAAUCAAAUGUAGAGCACUACCGUUCCGUACAAGAGAACAAAACUUCUAUUCCUUGAAAAUGGUAAAAUACAUUACCGAAACCGUCGGAAAUUGAAGCAAUAUUGUUCUUGCUGCUCUGAAAGACUGCCAAGGCCGGAAAACAUAACGUUUCUC